rnacentral:rRNA from 1 species
GACGAACGCUGGCGGCGUGCCUAAUACAUGCAAGUCGAGCGGAUGAAAGAGGAGCUUGCUCCUCUAGAUUCAGCGGCGGACGGGUGAGUAACACGUGGGCAACCUGCCCUGUAGAUUGGGAUAACUCCAGGAAACCGGGGCUAAUACCGAAUAAUCCUUCGGACCUCAUGGUCCGAUGUUGAAAGACGGUUUCGGCUGUCACUACAGGAUGGGCCCGCGGCGCAUUAGCUAGUUGGUGAGGUAACGGCUCACCAAGGCCACGAUGCGUAGCCGACCUGGAGGGGUGAUCGGCCACACUGGGACUGAGACACGGCACAGACUCCUACGGGAGGCAGCAGUAGGGAAUCUUCCACAAUGGACGAAAGUCUGAUGGAGCAACGCCGCGUGAGUGAAGAAGGUUCUCGGAUCGUAAAACUCUGUUGUGAGGGAAGAACAAGUACCGGAGUAACUGCCGGUGCCUUGACGGUACCUCAUUAGAAAGCCACGGCUAACUACGUGCCAGCCGCCGCAGUAA